rnacentral:rRNA from 1 species
AGCAGUCGCCACGGUAAUGCGUAGGGUGCGAGCGUUAAUCGGAAUUACUGGGCGUAAAGCGUGCGCAGGCGGUUGUGUAAGACAGGUGUGAAAUCCCCGGGCUUAACCUGGGAACUGCGCUUGUGACUGCACAGCUAGAGUAUGGCAGAGGGGGGUGGAAUUCCACGUGUAGCAGUGAAAUGCGUAGAGAUGUGGAGGAACACCGAUGGCGAAGGCAGCCCCCUGGGCCAAUACUGACGCUCAUGCACGAAAGCGUGGGGAGCAAACAGGAUUAGAUACCCCGGUAGUCCCUGUCUCUUAUAC